rnacentral:SRP_RNA from 1 species
GCGCACGGCCAUAAAGAGACAUGUACAGCUUUAGGCUGGAAAGCGCAGCAGAAAAUACGAGUGC